AACGCCACAGAAUGUAUUUCUGGUUAAAAAUCAGCAACCACAAUGCACAUAGGGACAACUUGGCUUUCCUCUGAGUCUUUUCAGGCAAUUUGGGAUGAAGAGCAACGGCCUCCCUUGCUCCUGUGAGCUCUGAUCCACGUGAAGCAGAGCCCAGCAGCUCCCCGUGAGCGGAGGGAUGCCGUGACGCUCGGCUCUGGCAGCGGCUGCGGAGUGGAUAGGCCGCGCUCUUCUUCCUGGCGAUGAUGCACACAGGCCUUGGGAGCUUCAGCUCUGUGAGCAAUUUUUGGAUGGCCUGGAGGAAGUUCCUUGGUCGAGUGUCACAAAUAAGUUCAGACUCCUCUGCCGCUGCCAGAUGCUUGGCCAGGCUGCUCGCUGAGGGGACUUGAUGUGGCACAUGUACCGCUCGGCGCAGGGCAGUGCCACCUGCUUAUCAGGCCCAGCUGCCGAUCAGACUCGAUUAAAAAAACCCAACAAACGCUUGGCCAACACCCAGUUCUUAGUACUUAGCCGGAGACCUUACUACUUGGUUAGUGCCUUAGCUUCCUGAGAAGGGGUUGACAUUUCACUUUGGAGAUAGACGUACAUUUCAGUGGAGGAGCAGGGACCUCAGACAAGGUAUUGAACCUCAUUCAGUCAGGGCUGCGGCCGGCGGCUGCACUCGGCCUGUGCCGCUGAGCUAGGAUGUAGGACGGUGUGGAAGCAGAUGUGACACUGUUUCAGAUUGGUUCUUUGAGGGAGGGGGGAGGGCUGGCUGAUCGUGCACCACUCUUUGUGCAACUUCGAGACUUCUAGUGAGGUUUGUUGGGUUUUUUUUUUGUUUGUUUUUUCUUUUUUUUUUUCUGUUCCGUUCUGUUUGGGUUUUGUUGUGUUUUUUUUUUUUUUUUUUUAAAUAUAUAUAUUUUUGUGUACUUGUUGCUUGUGCUUAAUUUAGUAGUAAAUUGUGGAAUAGAGUGAUUUAUUGUUAAUUUGGCAGUAGCGGUUUUUUAAAACCAUAUACUGACUGAAACAUGAGCCAGAGCUGAUUGCUUUAUUAAGCUAAUAAUGAAUGUUAAGAGUACAUAUUUUCAGGAUCAUUUGCCUAGUGAGCUAAACAUGUAUUAUAGGCCAAUAUUUUUUAAAAUAAAGCUUGGUCAACCUCUAUGUUACACAUAUUACAAGAUAUAGCACUUUCAAAAGAAAACCUAAACCUUUUAAGAAAGUUUCUUACAGGUUAUGCUUUUUAUUAUAAAACCUUUUAUUAUAAUUUGUUUCAAGUGCCAUUAGAUUACAUAUAUGUAGGCCUUUGGUAUAAUGCUUUGUGUACAAAAUGGUAGACAUUGUAAUUUUAAA
ensembl:lncRNA